UACGUAGGGGGCAAGCGUUGUCCGGAAUCAUUGGGCGUAAAGAGCGUGUAGGCGGUCCGGUAAGUCGGUUGUGAAAGUCCAGGGCUCAACCCUGGGAUGCCGACCGAUACUGUCGGACUAGAGUUCGGAAGAGGCGAGUGGAAUUCCCGGUGUAGCGGUGAAAUGCGCAGAUAUCGGGAGGAACACCUAUGGCGAAGGCAGCUCGCUGGGACGUUACUGACGCUGAGACGCGAAAGCUAGGGUAGCAAACGGG
rnacentral:rRNA from 1 species